GCCGGGCUGGUGGAAUUGGUAGACACACGGGACUUAAAAUCCUGUGGACGUUUGUCCGUGCGGGUUCGAGUCCCGCGCUCGGCACCA
rnacentral:tRNA from 1 species